rnacentral:rRNA from 1 species
UGGGGAAUAUUGCACAAUGGGGGAAACCCUGAUGCAGCAACGCCGCGUGAGUGAUGAAGGUUUUCGGAUCGUAAAGCUCUGUCUUUGGGGAAGAUAAUGACGGUACCCAAGGAGGAAGCCACGGCUAACUACGUGCCAGCAGCCGCGGUAAUACGUAGGUGGCGAGCGUUAUCCGGAUUUACUGGGCGUAAAGGGAGCGUAGGCGGAUGAUUAAGUGGGAUGUGAAAUACCCGGGCUCAACUUGGGUACUGCAUUCCAAACUGGUUAUCUAGAGUGCAGGAGAGGAGAGUGGAAUUCCUAGUGUAGCGGUGAAAUGCGUAGAGAUUAGGAAGAACACCAGUGGCGAAGGCGACUCUCUGGACUGUAACUGACGCUGAGGCUCGAAAGCGUGGGGAGCAAACA